rnacentral:piRNA from 3 species
UAGUGGUUAGGAUUCGGCGCUCU